AUACGUACGGAACGGAGCUAAUACCGGAUAAUAUAUUGAACCGCAUGGUUCAAUAGUGAAAGACGGUUUUGCUGUCACUUAUAGAUGGAUCCGCGCCGCAUUAGCUAGUUGGUAAGGUAACGGCUUACCAAGGCAACGAUGCGUAGCCGACCUGAGAGGGUGAUCGGCCACACUGGAACUGAGACACGGUCCAG
rnacentral:rRNA from 1 species